rnacentral:lncRNA from 1 species
CCAAGGGAGCGGACGGGCGGGGAGGAGGUGGCCUCUGCGCAGGCGCAGAGAGGAGCGAGCGACUCCUGCGCAAGCGCAGAGUGAAGGGCCGGGAACAGUGGAGGGUGCGAGGAAGACAAUGGGGGAGGACCCUGAGGCGGCCUCUGUGAGCCGACAGGAACACGUGGUCGAUCAGAGAGAGACUCGAGGUUCGUGAACGGAUGGGGAGGACCCUGAAAAGCACUGUGGAAUACAGGUUUCUAGUAACUUCAAAAUCACAUCAUUUGGACUGGGUAAAGAGCUUUUUAUGGUUCACUGAGGACAAUCAACCCCUUCACAAUCUAGAACCCAAAGAUGGGAUCUUCUGAGAACAUCAGAGAAACGCUGCCCUUGGCAUCAUCACUGCAACAAAACAUCAGGAUCUUGAACCUUGGGGUCAUAAUCUCACAACUGAGCAGGGUCACUCUUGGAACUCUACAUCCAUUGAAACCCUUAAGGUAAAGCUAAUCAGGGAAGUUUCUCCCCAGAAGAAGAUGGCAUCCUUGAUGUGAGCAGCUCUUUCUGAAGAUCAUGGAUCAAGACUUCUUACUAUCAUGAGACUCUUAUCUUUGAAUGUUUUUCCGUUGCUUCCGCCUCUGUGAACAACAGAAGUGAGAAGGGGGUCUGUUUUGUGCACUUAUGGGGUAUACUUUUAUUUGUGAAGGGCUUUGCAGCCAGCUUUAUACAUGGAUAAUCUUAUAACUUGAUAGAUAAAGAUGAAGGCCCAGUGUAUCAUAGGUGAGAAACUUCAAUGGUACAUAUGGUGCCUCAUAAUCAUUCAGAAGCAGAACAUUGGUUCACUCCUCUUAACCCACAGCAUGGGUUAAAGAGACCAUUGCCAAGAGGCCUUCCCUCUUCUAGAAGGGCAUCAUUUGUUAGGUCCUUUUUCCAUGGUUUGGAAUUAAAAAGGCAAUGACUAGAAACAUAUCCCUCAUGGUAGACUCUGUAGCAGAUUCUACUGUAAAGGCUACACAACAGAUGUUAAAUUCUCUUGUGAAAGUUAUGCUAAAAAAUAGAAUUGGCUAAACAGGAAAGUACCUGUGCAGAUGCUGGCACUUAAGGCCUAUGGAGAAAACAUCAGGUGUUAUAGAGAGUCUGUUGUAGGGAAUUAACGAAAAGACCACUGAGUUAAGUCAAAGAAUGGUCUAUUUGAGUUUAGGUGGUCUGGUUUAUGGGGACCCUGGCUAAGGAGCAUACUCCAAAUUCUUGGUGUUAACCCUCUCAGUAGUCAUAAGAAUAGUCUCCCUGGUGCACUGUAUUCUCUCAAAGGUUUUAAAUGUUUGCAUGAAGCCAUCUUUAGAACGUCAGAUGGUCUCUCUUCAACUGGAAUGACAAGAGCUGAAAGAAAUGUGUGACCACGAGGACACCGAAACCGAUGAGUGACAUGCUGAGACUGGAAAUCCAAAAUGAUAGUAACGGAGAGUGGCGCUAACAUCCUAAGUUUUGGUCACACUCUUGCCUAAGUGACAACCUGACAAAGGGGGAAUUUUUUAAACAAAAUGAUGGGAGGCCAUUGUUUUGGACUGAGCACUAGGUCCCAACAGACCAAACCGAACCAAAAUGGCAUCAUUCGUGCUAAAUGUGACAUAAUCGAAUUAAGACUUUAAGGAAACACAUGGGUCCUAGAAUAGACCAGGUUUUGUUUUUCUCUUGCAAACAGGACUUUCCAGCAUAAGGUGGUAUCCUCAACUCAGUCCUUGUUCCUACCUUUGCAAAACUCACUGUUCUGCUUCCUAGUGGGUUUCAAGACCAAUGGUGACAGUGACAUCAAUAACUCAAGUUUCGAUCAAUCUCUCAAAACUGAUAAAAUGACCAAAAAGGGGGAAUUGUUAAAGCGAACUAAAUAUGGCCUGAGAAGGACUCCGUACUUCUGUAUUGGAGUCCCUGUGAACAAACUGAGCCUAACUUAAUAGGUAGACAAGAUUGAAAACCUAAAUUAGGAGUAUGUACCUGUCACAAUUGCUGAGUCUCGGCCAGUCCCAGCAGCCGUACUUCAAUCACUCAUACACUGCUGAAUGUUCAAACUGUGUGUAAAUAAGGCAAAUGCCAACCUGUAACUAAUCCAGGUGUUUCUCUACCUCACUUCCCUUUUUUUGUCUAUAAAUCUUCCACCACGUGGCUGCACUGGAGUCUCUCUGAAUCUGCUGUAAUUCUGGGGGCUGCCCGAUGUGCAAAUCAUUCAUUGCUCAAUUAAACUCCUUUAAAUUUAAUUCAGCUGAAGUUUUCUUUUAACAAGAGUGAGAUAAGAAUCUGUGUUCUUAUCCCCCAGAAUGGACAAAUCAGUAGCGUUCCUUGUCAUUCUUUUGUGGCUGGUUUCACGUAAAUAUUUUGUGUGUAUGAUAAUAGAAUUUGAUUUUAAUGAAUAUACUUUAAAAGCAACUUUUUUUUUAUUCUUCCUCACCAUCGAAGAUGGAGAAAAAUAAGAAGGGCUGUCUUGCGGUUCCAUUUCUUUUGUGGAUAGUAAGAAGCGCUGUCUUCUGGUUCCGUUUUUUUUUUCUGGAUAGUAAGGAUGUUUAUCUUACUCUGUCUUCAUUGUCCUCAAACCUCAAGUAGUCACUAAUACCCUGGCUAUGACAGCUUUUAUCGUAGUGUUAAAUGGCAGAUUUAUUUACUUGGCAAACAUUGUCAAGUCUCAGAAAAAUUACCCCAUGGUCUUGCCUUCUUCCCUCGUGAAUUGCCUUCCACUGAUGGAGAGGAUUUGAUCUGUUCCCUGCUCAUCAAUUUUUCUAGCUUCUUUGGGAUGUCCGCUCUGCAUAUCUACUAAGGAAUUAAGAAAUAAUGGCUUCAGCAAGAAACAAGGCAGGAAAGUGCAGUGACAUGAGGACCAUACAGGGAAGGAGCUGUCCCCAAAGCAGGGUCUUUGUGACUUGUACCUUGUGCGGACCUCCUACUCAUCCUGUGACUAAGAACACUGAACUUCCUGGGGUUACAGCCCACAGGUCUCAGCCUCAUUUCAUCCAGCCCCUAUUCAAGAUGGAGUCGCUCUGGUUCAAAUGCCUCUGACACUAGUAAGGAUCACAGGUGGCAUCAACAGGUUUGGAGCAAACCUGAGUGUCUCCCGGUUGGUCACAUCUCAACUGACGAAAUCCACGACCAGCAGAGAGCAGCCUCCUUGCCCCCUGUGCUCACUGAGUCAUCCAGCCCAUUUUGACCAAGAUUAUGUGAGUUGCUGGAGCAGAGGUUGGUUGAGGGAGCUCCCACUGUAUGUAAUCACCGUG